CAGCUAAGAAGAGGAGAAGGAUAGAAAAAACAGGACUAGUAACAAAUGUACGAUCAGUUACCUGUCUUGCCUGUGGUUUAUUGAAGGACUCUGUACAUCCUUCCUGGAGCCAGACCUGCAGUGGGUGCCCCUUGGAUGCAUGCAGCCUCCAGUUCAGCCGAUUGCCAGAACCUUGCUCCUGAGUGAAGAGGUGAGAGUGAAAAGGAAAGAAGCGGCCUUGAGAGCUCCUUAUAAAUGAAUGGAAGAACAUUGCUAAUCUGCUUCACGUAAUUUACCUGCAACAGUGCCUAUUCUGUUUGCUGUGCAUACCACCAGUCCACCUGAGAAGCCAGCUGCAUUGCAUUACC
ensembl:lncRNA